rnacentral:rRNA from 1 species
CUUUUGCCCGGUGCACUCUUCUGCUGUCAGGCCAGCAUCGGUUCGGGCGGUCGGAUAAAGGCUUCGGGAAUGUAGCUCCUCUCGAGGAGUGUUAUAGCCCGUUGCGAAAUGCGGCCAGCCUGAACUGAGGUCCGCGCUUCGGCUAGGAUGCUGGCGUAAUGGUUGUAAGCGGCCCGUCUUGAAACACGGACCAAGGAGUCUAACAUCUGUGCGAGUGUUUGGGUGUCAAACCCGUACGCGUAAUGAAAGUGAACGGAGGCGGGAACCCCUCGGGGUGCACCGUCGACCGAUCCUGAUGUCUUCGGAUGGAUUUGAGUAAGAGCAUAGCUGUUGGGACCCGAAAGAUGGUGAACUAUGCCUGAAUAGGGUGAAGCCAGAGGAAACUCUGGUGGAGGCUCGCAGCGGUUCUGACGUGCAAAUCGAUCGUCAAAUUUGGGCAUAGGGGCGAAAGACUAAUCGAACUAUCUAGUAGCUGGUUCCUGCCGAAGUUUCCCUCAGGAUAGCAGUAACGUUUUCAGUUUUAUGAGGUAAAGCGAAUGAUUAGAGGCCUGGGGGUUGAAACAACCUUCACCUAUUCUCAAACUUUAAAUAUGUAAGAAGUCCUUGUUGCUUAGUUGAACGUGGACAUUUGAAUGUAUCGUUACUAGUGGGCCAUUUUUGGUAAGCAGAACUGGCGAUGCGGGAUGAACCGAACGCGGAGUUAAGGUGCCGGAAUGCACGCUCAUCAGACACCACAAAAGGUGAUAGUUCAUCUG